rnacentral:lncRNA from 1 species
AUUAUUAUUCAGCCUAGACUGAAUCAUCACGGGGCGGUGACUGCUUGAGAGAAGAGCUCUCCUCUGGUCCUCAUCGCUAGGAAUCACUGGGCCUGGGGUGCCUGUUGCCUAGCUCUUUCUCAGCCCUUGUUAUAUUAUAUCCCCUUCCGAUGGCGUGCUAAUAUACAUGAAGUCCUCGGGAGCAUCCUGAGGAGAAACCCAAUGCCCAGAGGGAGCCGUGGAUUCUGGGUGCCAUGGUUGGUACAGUCAGGCUAAACUGUGUGCUAUGCGUGGUGAUGGAUGUUAACAAGACUUCCUGUGGUGAUCAUUUUGCCAUAUUAACAAAUAUUGACUCAUUGUGUGGUACGCCAGAAACUAAUAUAAUGUUAUAUGUGAAUUAUACCUCGACCUGAGAACAACACAUCUUGUCAGAGGAAUUAGAACCUACUGCCUUGGAGUUCCCAUUUUCCCUGUGGUGAACUCUACUGAAGUUGUUAUUGAAGAGUAACCAAGUAGUUUAUGAAGAAAAUUUCUUCUUUUAGAAGAAUUCAAACUAAUAAACGUGGAAGGGAUCAUACAAUUGGAAUAUCAUUAUUUUGCAAACAAUAAUGAAAUAAUGGAUCAAGGCAAAUGGUUUUCAGUCGCUGCUAAAGGAUUAGGUGAAAUACCUAUAAGGAAUUUUGUAACGAAUGGACCAGUCGGUAACACCGGAACCCACCAGUGAUUCUUAACUUAGCAAAAAAGACAGCCAGCCUUCAUGAACCUCCUUAUGUGAUACAAUGAGAGCACGCAGCACCGCCUGUGAAGCAUUCUUGCCGAACAAAACAAGACAAAACAAAACAAACCUGAAUCUGAUCAAGUAAGCCUCUAGAUCUAACUACCCGCUUAAAGGAAAUACAGCCCCAUAGGGAUAUAAUCAACGAAAACCAGAGUGUGGGACAUUAAAUAGGCCUACAGAAAUAAUUGUUCUUCAACAAAUAAAUUGCAUUAAAAAAGAAAGAAGGACGGGGAACUUAUAGAUUAAAAAGACAUUUAAGAGACGUAUCAGCCAAAUGCAAUAUAGGGGACUUCUUUGGAUCCUGAUUUGAACAAACCAACUGUAAAAAAAAAAAAGGAUAGUCAGAACAUUGUGUGGAUAUUAGCAUUAUGGAAAUAUUAUAAAUUUGGGAGGUGCAAUGAUGUUUAUGUGGCUAUGCUUUUUAAAAUUCUUACUUUUUAAGAUAGAGACUGAAAUAUUUAUGGAUAAAAUAAUUUUGAUAUCUGAGACUUGCUUCAAAAUAAUUCAGCAGGGGAGGGAGUCAGGGUGAGGAGUGGAGGGGUAUAGAGGAAACAAAAGUAGUCCUGUGUUGAUAAUUGUCGAGGAACAGAAGAUCAGAACAUGGGGCUUCAUUAUACUAUUUUCUCUACUUUUGUAUAUUAUUUCCAUAAUAAUUUUUUUACAAGUAAAUGCUUUUUCAAAUGCUUACCCCUACAUUGGACUUAUAUUUUUAAGGCACCAAUCAAAACCUAUCCCUUUUGUCUAUUACAAAUAUAUUUUCAUUUGCUUCUAAACUAUAUGAUUUUAGCUCUCCUCUGUUUCAUGAGGAGGGUUCCUAUUUAUUUUGUCAUAUUUACUUACUUUUAGUGAUUUUUAAAAAUUACUGAAAUACAUAUUCUAUAGCAUAAGCUCCAAGAGUUCCUCAUGACCUUGGGAUGAAAUGCAGGUAACCCCCUACUUUGACAAUCAAAGCUCACCAUAAUCAAGCAUCACCCUAUGUGUCAGACAAACUCUCCCAAAAAAUAGAAGAAAGGAAACACUUCCCAACCCACCUUAUGAAGCCAGUAUUAACCUGAUACCAAGACCAAAGGCAUCACACAAAAAAGAAAGCUACAGACCAAUAUCCAUAUUCCAUAUUAAAUAGACACAAAAAUUCUCAAGAAAAUACUAGCAAAUUGAAUCUAGCAACAUAUAAAAAGAAUUAUACACUUAAACAUGGCAAAUUUUAUGUUAUAUAUAUUUUACCACAAUUGAAAAAUAGUAAAAUAAUU